UACAAGGAAUGCAAGCGUUAUCCGGAAUGAUUGGGCGUAAAGCGUCUGUAGGUGGUUUAGAAAGUCGAUUGUCAAAAACCAAGGCUUAACCUUGGGCCGGCAAUGGAAACUUCUAGACUAGAGUACGGUAGAGGUAGAGGGAAUUACCGGUGUAACGGUGAAAUGUGCAGAUAUCGGUAAGAACACCAACGGCGAAAGCACUCUACUGGGCCGAGACUGACACUCAGAGACGAAAGCUAGGGGAGCGAAUAGG
rnacentral:rRNA from 1 species